rnacentral:rRNA from 1 species
GUAGGUGGCAAGCGUUGUCCGGAAUUACUGGGUGUAAAGGGAGCGCGGGCGGGAAGCCAAGUCAGCUGUGAAAACUACAGGCUUAACUUGUAGACUGCAGUUGAAACUGGUUUUCUUGAGUGAAGUAGAGGUUGGCGGAAUUCCGAGUGUAGCGGUGAAAUGCGUAGAUAUUCGGAGGAACACCGGUGGCGAAGGCGGCCAACUGGGCUUUAACUGACGCUGAGGCUCGAAAGUGUGGGGAGCAAACAGGAUUAGAUACCCUGGUAGUCCACACUGUAAACGAUGAUUGCUAGGUGUGGGGGGUCUGACCCCUUCCGUGCCGCAGCUAACGCAAUAAGCAAUCCACCUGGGGAGUACGACCGCAAGGUUG